UAUGAACGCUGGCGGCGUGCCUAAUACAUGCAAGUCGAGCGAACGGACGAGAAGCUUGCUUUUCUGAUGUUAGCGGCGGACGGGUGAGUAACACGUGGAUAACCUACCUAUAAGACUGGGAUAACUUCGGGAAACCGGAGCUAAUACCGGAUAAUAUUUUGAACCGCAUGGUUCAAAAGUGAAAGACGGUCUUGCUGUCACUUAUAGAUGGAUCCGCGCUGCAUUAGCUAGUUGGUAAGGUAACGGCUUACCAAGGCAACGAUGCAUAGCCGACCUGAGAGGGUGAUCGGCCACACUGGAACUGAGACACGGUCCAUACUCCUACGGGAGGCAGCAGUAGUGAAUCUUCCGCAAUGGGCGAAAGCCUGACGGAGCAAUGCCGCGUGAGUGAUGAAGGUCUUCGGAUCGUAAAACUCUGUUAUUAUGGAAGAACAUAUGUGUAAGUAACUGUGCACAUCUUGACGGUACCUAAUCAGAAAGCUACGGCUAACUACGUG
rnacentral:rRNA from 1 species